AGGAGAGGCUUGUUACAGGAACUGCUUUUGUGCAUGGAACUUAUGGUGCAUACAGGACAUUGGAUGAACUCUGCGGUGGUGAAAUCAUUUAUGGAGGUGGCAAUGACCAGUUGGAUCCCAAGUAUCCAUGCUAUGAGGAAGAGAGCAUUACUUGCCUAAUUGUUCGUUGGCACAAGGUAUGCGGCUGAUGAAUAACCAUCAAAUUGAGAAGGAUCAUUUUUCUUCAACUAAUAAGGCCACACAAAAUAUCUUCAAUAAUAAUAAUAAUAAUAAUAAUAAUAAUAAUAAUUGAUGAUGAGAUUAUCAAUCACUUGUUGAUCCAUCUCCAAUUUAUUUUUUUAUUUUUUUUUAAUCUUAUUUAUUAUUCUUAAGAUUAGAGAUAUGUUUCCUUUCAAUCUCAUCUAUGAUUUUUAAGAAUCUAGUACAAUGUUAUGAUCUCUACCAAUAUAUUUCAUGUUAUCCUUUUUAUGGCAAUCAAUGCAACUUUUUUCUUCUUGUUUUUUUUUUGAUGUUGUCCACCAUGGUUACUCCAAUUUUUUGUUUUGUUUUAGUAUCAUAAUUAUAUUAUAUUGACAGGGAAAAAAAAGAAAAAAAGGGAGAGAAAAGAGCAUCAUAACUGAGAUGGAACAAAACUAUAAAAUAAAAGAUGUACUGCUAAAUAUUAUUUUGACAUGAUAAAUAUUUUUCAAGAAUACACACAUAUGUAUCAUAAAUAUAACUGAUUAACAGUCUUGUACUAUUUUAAUUUUUUUAGGUCCUAUUU